rnacentral:rRNA from 1 species
AACGAACGCUGGCGGCAGGCCUAACACAUGCAAGUCGAGCGCACCCUUCGUGGUGAGCGGCGGACGGGUGAGUAACGCGUGGGAACGUUCCCUUCUCUGCGGAAUAGCCUCGGGAAACUGAGAGUAAUACCGCAUACGCCCUUUGGGGGAAAGAUUUAUCGGAGAAGGAUCGGCCCGCGUUGGAUUAGGUAGUUGGUGGUGUAAUGGCCCACCAAGCCGACGAUCCAUAGCUGGGUUGAGAGGAUGAUCCGCCACACUGGGACUGAGGCCCGGCCCAGAAUCCUACGGGAGGGCGGCAGGGGGGAUCCUAGCAAAUGGGGGGCACCCCGAACUAGCCCUGGCGGGGGAGUGAUGAAGGCCUUAGGGUUGUAAAGCUCUUUCAGCUGGGAAGAUAAUGACGGUACCAGCAGAAGAAGCCCCGGCUAACUCCGUG